CCAGACGGGGGUUGGGUUCAGCGGGACAGGACCUGACAGUCUCUGAUGGGGGGACGAUUGGGCAGAGAAGGGAGUGAAUGGGGCAGCCCUCUGGGGAAGAGCCUUGUCUGGGACUGUGGGGACAUUGGGACACAGGCCUGAGGGCAGUGAUGUAGGGGGGAGUGGUUGGAGAUGCUGGGAGGACAUAGAUGGCCUCUUUCAUGAGGCUUCUGUAGGACUCUCCAUGGACUUGGCUUGUAUCCACUGAGAUGGGAACUGUUAGACGGCUAUAAGCAGAGGCCUGACAUGAUCUGACUUGCAUUUCAAAGGAUCACACUAGCUGCUUUGUUAGGAGCAAACAAAGUUUGUUCCUAACUUUGGAGCAAAGGUGCAGCAGGAAAUGGCUCAGAGGCUGCUGCAGGGGUUCAGCAGCGACAUGGUGGCGCUCAUGCACCGGGCGCUCCUUGUGGGCUGUGCAGGUGGGAGGUAGCGCUGGCCGGGCACUGCGGGUUGGAUGAAGGGUGUGAGAGAGGCCAGGAGGACUCCGAGGCUUUUGGCCUAUACAAGUGGAAGGAGGGAGGAGGGAGGUACUGUUUAGGGAAAUGGAGUUAUGAGAAAAACCCAGAAUUGUAUAGAAAAACAUUCCCCCAAAUCCGGAGGGAGCUGAGAGACCAAAGAAUGAUUCGAACAAGUCCAGCUUGGUGAGUAGGUGAGCGUAUUAGGACUUAAAUGGAGGGCACUCCUCGGUGGCAGCAGGACAGCUCUGGGCAUCCGUGCCGCCUCCCGUCUCCAGGCUGCCUUUAAGCUAAUUUUCUGGCUCUUUGCCUCCUGUGUGUGUGAUGAGACUAUUUUCCUUGGUAUGUGCCCAGCUAUGCCCUAGGAUGUUUGGGUUCUCAGGGACACGUGCUCCUCAGCUGGGCACCAUGGCCUUGGCUUACCGCCCAGCCUGCAGGGUUCAAAUGGCGGACAUACAUACACCCGUAAGUAACCCAUCACACUACAAAUGGAGUAGACUGCAGUGGCUGUGACAUGUCACACACUGAAUUGGGGAAGAUGAGGUGACUGUGACCUAUGUUGUCACCUCAUUUAAUCCUGACACGACCCCAUGAGUAGUCAUUACAAAUCUUUUUUUUUUUUUUUUGGAGACAGAGUCUCACUCUGUCACCCAGGCUGGAGUGCAGUGGUGCGAUCUCAGCUCACUGCAACCUCUGCCUCCCAGGUUCAAGCGCAAAUCCUAUUUUAUACUCAAGGAAAGAGAAGCUCAGGAUGCUGAAUUAAAUUGCCUACAGCCAUACAGCUAGUUAAGGGACAGAGCUAAUCCCAACCAAGGUCCCUUUGACUCUGAGCCCUCUGAGAAUGUGCAGUCCCUGUGAUCCUUUUUUUGCAUAAAUGGCAACAAAGUAGUCCAGUCCAAACAGCCUCCCUGCUCAUUCAUGAAAGCUGGAGUGAUGGUUUGUGCUUGGAGAGUGCUCAAGUAGAGAAGAGAGACCUGUCCCCUCCCUGCCCUUGGUGUUGGCAAAGGGAGCAGGGAGGAGGCAGAGGGAGGCAGACGCCAGCCCCUUUCCUUGUGGCUCUCUCCAGGUAACUGGCAGCCUGGAGGAGGUGGCGGCUUAAUGGGCCUAGCCCACGAAGAGAACUUGGACUUGAAGGUUUAAACAGCAACCUCUCACCAAUAAUGAAAGAUUAGGAGUGGGGAAGCCGUAUAUAAAAAUAGCACUUAAUAGUUAACUGGAAAACUAUAUUUUUGCAACCACUGGUUCCUCGAGAAAUAAUUGGGUCCCAAGGCAGGAAAUGAGUCGUUUUCAUGAAUGAUUAUAUUGAUCAUUGGUGCAAAACAGAUACACCCCCUUAGGAAAGCAAUUCUGUCUGGCUAGUCAGGCGGCCCCAGUGUGAAAUCCUGAGAGGCGGCAAGGGGAGGAGGACAGGGGCUGCAAGCCGAGGGAGCCAGGUCCUGGCCUGGCACACACAGGGGCGGGGCUGUUGAAUGGGAGAUGAGAAGGAACAGAAUUUGCCUCCAACAUAAGUCCUGAGCUCUCCCAAGGGAAGAAGGUGACAGAGUGAGACCCUGUCUCAAAGAAGAAAAAAAAAGUCACAUGAACAGAAAUAAAAGUCGAAAGCAUGACGAGUCCAAAGGAGGGAAAGUAAAGGGAGUGGUGAGAGAUGGCAGGGGCAUCAUUUGGGUUGGGGGAUUGGAUGAGGCUCCUCCAAGGGGAUGUGACUUGCUCCCAUGCUGCUUCAGGUCCUGGGUCAGACAAUGAUGUGCCUGUCACUCUUUUUUUUUUAAGUCAGGUCUUGUUCUGCACCCAGGCUGGAGUGCAAUGGUACAGUCAUGGCUCACUGCAGCCUCCAACUCCUGGGCUCAAGCAGUCCUCCCAUCUCAGCCUCUCAAGUAGCUGAGACUACAGACAUAUGCCAUCAUGCCCAGCUAUUUUUUUUUUUUUUAAGAGACAGGAUCUCGCUUUGUUGCCUCAGGCUGGCCUCUAACUCCUGGGCUCAAGUGAUCCUCCCACCUUGGCCUCCCAAAGUGCUGCGAUUGCAGGCGUGAGCCACCAUGCACGGCCCCCCAUUGCUCUUGAUACCCUUACCCACUUACCACCACCACACUUACUGGUACUGUGAGUUUAUUGUUUUACCCCUCUCCUGCUCCCCCCACCACCCCUUCUCGUGCCUGGUGUCUGAUUGGUUGACACAGUCAGUACAGGGUGACUGAAGGGUAGUUAGCCCUGAGGUGAGUCUGGCAGAGAGAACACUAGCACAGAGGCUUUGGGGUCGAAAAGAGCCCGCAUGUGGCUGGGCACAGUGGCUCACGCCUGUAAUCCCAGCACUUUGGGAGGCUGAGGCAGGCAGAUCACGAGGUCAGGAGAUUGAGACCAUCCUGGCUAACAUGGUGAAACCCCGUCUCUACUAAAAAUACAAAAAAUUAGCUGGGCAUGAUGGCAGGCGCCUGUAGCCUCACCUGCUUGGGAGGCUGAGGCAGCAGAAUGGUGUGAACCCGGGAGGCAGAGCUUGCAGUGAGCCGAGAUCACACCACUGCACUCCAGCCUGGGCAACAGAGUGAGACUCUGUCUCAAAAAAAAAAAAAAAGCUCUUGAAGCUUGGCGUGGUGGUUCACGCCUAUAAUCCCAGUACUUUGGGAGGCUGAGGUGGGUGGAUCACCUGAGGUCAGGAGUUCGAGACCAGCCAUGGCCAACCUGGCGAAACCCCAUGUCUACUAAAAAUACAAAAAUUAGCUGGGCAUGGUGACGGCUGCAUGUAAUCCCAACUACUUGGGAGUCUGAGGCAGGAGAAUCGCUUGAACCUGAGAGGCGGAGGUUGCAGUGAGCUGAGAUGCGCCAUUGCACUCCAGCCUGGGCAACGACAAGAGUGAAAUUCCAUCUCAAAAAAAAAAAAAAGUUCUUUCUAGAUUUUCUAUUUCAAAGCUUCAGCUGAGUGGCUGACAUUUUGUUUGUUUGUUUUGUUUGUUUGUUUUUACAACUGAACCCUGUCCUUUUUGUGACCCAGAGGGAAAUCACCAGCCUCAGAGAGAUUGAGGAGAAAUUAUUAUUUUUUUAAUAGAGAGAGAGCCUUGCUGUAUUGCCCAGGCUGGCCUCGAACUCCUGGUCUCAAGCAAUCCUCCUGCCUCAACCUCCCAAAGCACUGGGAUUACAGGCGUGAACACCGUGCGUGGCCUAGAAAUGAUUGUUAAAUAGUUGAAUAAUGUAGCUAGGUCUCUCCAUUUGGAUGAUGACUCCGUGGUGGAUAGUUUCCUCUCUCCACCUCUGGCUUUCCGGGGUGAGAAUGAGCAGUGGCAGAUUUCAAUUUCUAGGUUGGUCCCCUGCUGCCCCAAGCCAGGCGCCAACUCAGCCACAUCCAAGCAGCUGCCUCCCCUGUCAUUUGGUGUGUCCUCACGGGAGGCAAACUCAUUUCAGUGGAAGCUCAAGCAAAGUGUAAUUAGGACAGUAAAUCUGCUGCUUAACAGCAACAAAGAAAGUCCUAUGGCAGAUUUUACAGUCCUGGAGAAGUGAUUUGAGGCUGAAGGAAGGGUGGGAGAGACCUGGCCUUUGAUUUAAUUGCUUCCAGCCUGGGAACAAAGUCCAAGACAUGGUAACCUCAUUUACUCCAGAAAAUGCACCAUGACUCUUUAAAAGUUUAUGGUGUGAUAGUCUGAGGUUGGAGGAAUAGGGACAUGAUUUCAUGAAAGUCUUUUUUUUUUUUCCUUUCUAUGCCUUGCAGUGGAACUGUAACUCCUACUUUUCACCCUGCAUCACUAUCCUCACUUCCAUUUUUGGGAUAUUUACCAUUUAUCAAGCAACAUACCAUGGACUGCAGAUGCAUUUUCUUUUUCUUUUUUUUUUUUUUCUCUGAGACGGAGUCUCGCUCUGUCACCCAGGCUGGGGUGCAGGGGCGCAAUCUCCACUCACUGCAACCUCCGCCUCCUGGGUUCAAGCGAUUCUCCUGCCUCAGCCUCCCGAGUAGCUGGGACUGCAGGUGCCCGCCACCAGGCCUGGCUAAUUUUUUGUAUUUUUAGUAGAGACGAGGUUUUACCGUGUUAGCCAGGAUGGUCUCGAUCUCCUGACCUCAUGAUCUGCCUGCCUCGGCCUCCCAAAGUGCUGGGAUUACAAGCGUGAGCCACUACGCCCAGCCAAGGCAGUCCUAUGAUCCUAAACCUCAUUUUAUGGAUGAGAAAACUGAGGUUCAGGGAGGCAAGUGGCUUGCCCGGGGUUGCAGCACAUGUGAAUGGAGGAGCUGGGUGUGAAGAAGCCAUGCCCCAACCUUUGUGCCGUGCUGCCGCUGCUUGGUCUGAGGACGCCACAAACCAUGACGCCAGCUCAAAGUCACACCACCAGCAUCGCCCAGCCUCCUGGCCUUUCCCUCACAUUCCUUCGUGGCAAGAGUGGUACUUUUCUAAACCUCGGGCUUAGUGGCUGCCGAGCCACUGCUUGCGGCUCAGUUCCCCAUCUGGGCCAAGAGGAUUGCAGGUCCUUCUGGCACUCCUCUGGUGGACCGCCCCCAUCGGCCACACUUGCCCUGCUCUCCAGUGAUUCUGUGGCUCCUGGCUCCGUAGUCUCGCGGACAGCUCUCUUUCCUGGGAAGAUGUUUCUGGUGGGCCUGACAGGGGGCAUUGCCUCAGGCAAGAGCUCAGUGAUCCAGGUGUUCCAGCAGCUGGGCUGUGCGGUGAUUGACGUGGACGUGAUGGCCCGGCACGUCGUGCAGCCAGGAUACCCUGCCCACCGGCGCAUCGUAGAGGUCUUCGGCACUGAGGUCUUGCUGGAGAACGGCGACAUAAAUCGCAAGGUCCUGGGGGACCUGAUCUUUAACCAGCCUGACCGGCGGCAGCUGCUCAACGCCAUCACCCACCCCGAGAUCCGCAAGCAGAUGAUGAAGGAGACGUUCAAGUACUUCCUCCGGGUAUCAAAAGACCUGCCCCCCACUUUUCAAGGCCAGCACAAGUGCCAGCCCUUCUACAAGGUCUUCCCUGAUCAGCUAUCCAGAAAUGAUUUUCUGCAGCCUUCUGUUCUGCACAGCAUUGGAACCGGCCAGUGUGCAGGGAUACCGCUACGUGAUUCUGGAUAUCCCCCUGCUGUUUGAGACCAAGAAGUUGCUCAAGUACAUGAAGCACACCGUGGUAGUAUACUGAUAUGUGAUCUCCCUGAUGAAGGCUGGAUUUAGUCCUUGUUCUCAGCGAGUGACCGGGACACACAGCUGGCACGGCUGAUGCGGCGGAACAGCCUGAACCGCAAGGACGCAGAGGCCCGCAUCAAUGCCCAGCUGCCCCUGACAGACAAGGCCCGCAUGGCCCGCCAUGUCCUA